rnacentral:SRP_RNA from 1 species
GGCGGGCCACCCCGCAUUGCAAUGUAGUGAACCUGGUCAGGGCCGGAAGGAAGCAGCCACAGCUAUGAUUUGUAAGUGCCGGGGAUUUGGCUCGCCGCC